CCUGAGACUAGCAUAUCAAUAAGCGGAGGAAAAGAAACUAACAAGGAUUCCCCUAGUAACUGCGAGUGAAGCGGGAAAAGCUCAAAUUUAAAAUCUGGUGGCCUUUGGCCAUCCGAAUUGUAAUUUAGAGAAGCGUCUUCCGCGCUGGACCGUGCACAAGUCUCCUGGAAUGGAGCGUCAUAGAGGGUGAGAAUCCCGUCUUUGGCACGGAUGCCCAGUGCUUCUGUGAUGCGCUCUCGACGAGUCGAGUUGUUUGGGAAUGCAGCUCAAAAUGGGUGGUGAACUCCAUCUAAAGCUAAAUAUUGGCGAGAGACCGAUAGCGAACAAGUACCGUGAGGGAAAGAUGAAAAGCACUUUGGAAAGAGAGUGAAACAGUACGUGAAAUUGUUGAAAGGGAAACGCUUGAAGUCAGUCGCGUCGACCGAGACUCAGCCUUGCCUUGGCUUGGUGUGCUUCUUGGCUCGACGGGUCAGCAUCAAUUUUGAUCCUCGGAUAAUGGCAAGGGAAAGGUAGCACCUUUUUAGGUGUGUUAUAGUCCUCUGUCGCAUGUGAGGGUCGGGAUUGAGGAACUCAGCAUGCACCUCCGGGUGUCGGGGCCUUGGCCCACGUUACAUGCUUAGGAUGCUGGCAUAAUGGCUUUAAACGACCCGUCUUGAAACACGGACCAAGGAGUCUAACAUACCCGCGAGUGUUCGGGUGGAAAACCCGUGCGCGCAAUGAAAGUAAAAGUUGGGACCUCUGUCGUGGAGGGCACCGACGCCCGGACCAGACCUUCUGUGACGGCUCUGCGGUAAAGCGUGUAUGUUGGGACCCGAAAGAUGGUGAACUAUGCCUGAAUAGGGUGAAGCCAGAAGAAACUCUGGUGGAGGCUCGUAGCGAUUCUGACGUGCAAAUCGAUCGUCAAAUUUGGGUAUAGGGGCGAAAGACUAAUCGAACCAUCUAUUACCUGGUUCCUGCCGAAUCUCCCCACAGAUAAAA
rnacentral:rRNA from 1 species